rnacentral:rRNA from 1 species
CUACGGGGGGCAGCAGUGAGGAAUAUUGCGCAAUGGGGGAAACCCUGACGCAGCGACGCCGCGUGGAUGAUGAAGGCCUUAGGGUCGUAAAAUCCUGUCAGGUGGGAAGAAGUGGAUAUAGAUUAAUACUCUAUUUCUUUGACGGUACCACCAAAGGAAGCACCGGCUAACUCCGUGCCAGCAGCCGCGGUAAUACGGAGGGUGCAAACGUUGUUCGGAAUUACUGGGCGUAAAGCGCGCGUAGGCGGUUUGUUAAGUCAGAUGUGAAAGUCCAUGGCUUAACUAUGGAAGUGCAUUUGAAACUGGCAGACUUGAGUACUGGAGGGGGGGAUGGAAUUCCCGGUGUAGAGGUGAAAUUCGUAGAUAUCGGGAGGAAUACCGGUGGCGAAGGCGGUCACCUGGCCAGAUACUGACGCUGAGGUGCGAAAGCGUGGGGAGCAAACAGGAUUAGAUACCCGAGUAGUC